AAUUUAAAGAACAAAGAUUUCGACUCUUAAUUUGGGGAGGCCCCUC
rnacentral:tRNA from 1 species